rnacentral:lncRNA from 1 species
AUUUACAACACAUACAUCAUCAGGUUAUCACCGUUCUCUAAAUUUACAACACAUACAUCAUCAGGUUAUCACCGUUCACAAACAUAAUCAGUUUAUUACCAGAAUCGUCUUGCAUCCUGCUACCACACACUUAAACAUCAGACCGAGGGGUCCAAACACUCCGUGAGCUCACGCGAUGGCAAACAGCCGCAGCUAGCGAACCAGGCCGAUCCUGACAUCACACGAAGGAGGCCAGCUCAUUGCCCUCCUCAAAGAAGGCGCCGGUCACCCCGCCGUCCGGCAGCAGCGCCACCUUCACCACAUUACUCGCGCCCUCCUCCGGCGCCAGGAGCCCCGAGUGUAAGGUUAUGUCAGUCUUGACGUAGCCGGGAUGCGCGCAGUUAACGCGCAGCGCGGGCUGCUUCGCCGCCAGCAUCCUCGAGUACGCGUUCACGGCCGCCUUGCUCACCUUGUACGCCGCGAACGCCACUGGCCACCCGCGCGCUUCUGCCGUGCCGACCUUGAAGUCUCUCAGGAACUGGUCCAGCAGUUCGUCCAGCCGCUCCUCGGUGAGGUUGCCGACGUCGUUCAGCACUUGCUUCAGAUCCUCGUUUCUGAAAUGCUGUGUUGAAGAACUUCAAUUAGGACGACUGACGACCACACUGAUCCAAUUGUUGAGUGGCGAGUACUGAGUUAAGAAGGCACCCUUAACAACCCAAAGUCGGAGGAUAUAUUGACGAUUCUU